UACCAGACUCCUACGGGAGGCAGCAGUGGGGGAUAUUGCACAAUGAGGGGAACCCUGAUGCAGCGACGCCGCGUGGGUGAAGAAGCGCCUCGGCGCGUAAAGCCCUGUCAGCAGGGAAGAAAAUGACGGUACCUGAAGAAGAAGCCCCGGCUAACUACGUGCCAGCAGCCGCGGUAAUACGUAGGGGGCAAGCGUUAUCCGGAUUUACUGGGUGUAAAGGGAGCGUAGACGGACUUGCAAGUCUGAUGUGAAAAUCCGGGGCCCAACCCCGGAACUGCAUUGGAAACUGUAUAUCUAGAGUGUCGGAGAGGCAAGUGGAAUUCCUGGUGUAGCGGUGAAAUGCGUAGAUAUCACGAAGAACCCCGAUUGCGAAGGCAGCUUACUAAACUGUGACUGACAUUGAUGCUCGAAAGUGUGGGUAUCAAACAGGAUUAGAUACCCUUGUA
rnacentral:rRNA from 1 species